rnacentral:rRNA from 1 species
AGAGUUUGAUCCUGGCUCAGGACGAACGCUGGCGGCGUGCCUAACACAUGCAAGUCGAACGGGGUCCAUGAGAGCUUGCUCUCGGAAGACCUAGUGGCGAACGGGUGAGUAACACGUGAGAAACCUGCCUUGGAGUGGGGAAUAACUCGAGGAAACUCGAGCUAAUACCGCAUACCUUCUCUUGACCGCAUGGUCAGUUGAAGAAAGAAUUUCGCUCCAAGAGGGUCUCGCGGCCUAUCAGUUUGUUGGUGGGGUAACGGCCUACCAAGACUACGACGGGUAGCUGGUUUGAGAGAACGAUCAGCCACACUGGAACUGAGACACGGUCCAGACUCCUACGGGAGGCAGCAGUGGGGAAUCUUGCGCAAUGGGCGAAAGCCUGACGCAGCAACGCCGCGUGCGGGAUGAAGGCCUUCGUGGUCGUAAACCGCUUUCAGCAGGGACGAAAAUGACGGUACCUGCAGAAGAAGCCCCGGCUAACUACGUGCCAGCAGCCGCGGUAAUACGUAGGGGGCAAGCGUUGUCCGGAAUCAUUGGGCGUAAAGAGCUCGUAGGCGGUUCAGUAAGUCAGGUGUGAAAGCUCCGAGCUCAACUCGGAGANNCCACCUGAUACUGCUGUGACUAGAAUCCAGUAGGGGAGUGUGGAACUCCUGGUGUAGCGGUGAAAUGCGCAGNUAUCAGGAAGAACACCAGCGGCGANNNCGGCACUCUGGGCUGGAAUUGACGCUG